CUCAGCCUAACCAAACAAAUCCCUCGCCGUUUUCUCUCAUCUCUCUCCCUUCCCCGUUUUGCAACCCUACUUAGCCUUGUUUGAAACCCCCAGACACCGCAGCCUCCCGCUGUAGCAGCCGCCGUAGCUGCUACCUCCAAGCGACCCCGAUGAUAGCCCUAACCAGAAACCUACCUAAAACCCACCCCUGGCCCGGAAACUUAACCCCAAACUACUUCGGGAUCCCUGUUCUGUUCCACUUCGUUCGUACCCCACAUACUGGAUCCCUCAAAUACCUGAAGCCACAGGCCUAACACCGACAUGCACGACUCGAAAUCAACUGGAGACAAAGGGUUUUACCUUAUUACAGACGGGGCAUGGAUUCCUAGCCAAGGCGACGAAGCUACUGGAUCGAGAGGAUGGUGCAGAGUAUGGAGGUUAUGGAGCAUUGUGUAGCUUGUUCGGUUGUGGUGCUACGGUGGAACAUGACCACGAGCCGGGGAGUCGAGCUGGCAGGGGCUGCUGCAACGCACCGGUCUCCUGUUGUGGAUUCACGGGUGGCCGACAGGGGCUGUUGUUGGCAUGGUGCUCAAGACUGCUGUUUGAUCUGUACAACUGGUGACCGAGUGACGUGGAACAGAACAAAGCCUUCAAUUGGGAGCUAGCUGCCAAAACCGGGUCUGGUCUUGAAGCCUGGGUUUGAAUGUAAUUACUGCUGAGCUUUGUAAUUGGAUCUAUUAUUUUGUAAUUUGGUUUGAGCUUGUGA